rnacentral:rRNA from 1 species
CCUGACUGCUAUCGGAUUGAUACUAAGCCAUGCGAGUCUUUGUAGUAAUACAAGGCAGACGGCUCAGUAACACGUAGUCAACCUACCCUAUGGACAAGAAUAAUCUCGGGAAACUGGGCAUAAUUCUUGAUAGAUCAUAAUGCCUGGAAUGGUUUAUGGUUAAAAUGAUUCGUCGCCAUAGGAUGGGACUGCGGCCUAUCAGCUUGUUGGUGAGGUAAUGGCCCACCAAGGCGAUUACAGGUACGGGCUCUGAGAGGAGAAGCCCGGAGAUGGGUACUGAGACACGGACCCAGGCCCUAUGGGGCGCAGCAGGCGAGAAAACUUUGCAAUGUGCGAAAGCACGACAAGGUUAAUCCGAGUGAUUUCUGCUAAAGAAAUCUUUUGCCAGUCAUAAAACCACUGGCGAAUAAGGGGUGGGCAAGUUCUGGUGUCAGCCGCCGCGGUAAAACCAGCACCUCAAGUGGUCAGGAUGAUUAUUGGGCCUAAAGCAUCCGUAGCCGGCUUUGUAAGUUUUCGGUUAAAUCCAUGUGCUCAACGCAUGGGCUGCCGAAAAUACUGCAUGGCUAGGGAGUGGGAGAGGUAGACGGUACUCAGUAGGAAGGGGUAAAAUCCUUUGAUCUAUUGAUGACCACCUGUGGCGAAGGCGGUCUACCAGAACACGUUCGACGGUGAGGGAUGAAAGCUGGGGGAGCAAACCGGAUUAGAUACCCGGGUAGUCCCAGCUGUAAACGAUGCAGACUCGAUGAUGCAUUGGCAUAAUAGCCAGUGCAGUGUCGCAGGGAAGCCGUUAAGUCUGCCGCCUGGGAAGUACGUACGCAAGUAUGAAACUUAAAGGAAUUGGCGGGGGAGCACCACAAGGGGUGAAGCCUGCGGUUC